rnacentral:tRNA from 1 species
ACCUGGGUGGCUCAGUCGGUUGAGCAUCUGACUUCGGCUCAGGUCAUGAUCUCACAGUUCAUGGGUUCGAGCCCCACGUCGGGCU